UGGCGGACGGGGAGGUAAUGUCCGGGGAAAUGCCCGAUGGAGGGGGAUAACUACUGGAAACGGUAGCUAAUACCGCAUAACGUCGCAAGACCAAAGAGGGGGACCUUCGGGCCUCUUGCCAUCGGAUGUGCCCAGAUGGGAUUAGCUAGUAGGUGGGGUAACGGCUCACCUAGGCGACGAUCCCUAGCUGGUCUGAGAGGAUGACCAGCCACACUGGAACUGAGACACGGUCCAG
rnacentral:rRNA from 1 species